GCUUGUCUCAAAGAUUAAGCCAUGCAUGUCUAAGUAUAAACAAAUCUAUACGUGAAACUGCGAAUGGCUCAUUAUAUCAGUUAUAGUUUAUUUGAUGGUCCUUACUACUUGGAUAACCGUAGUAAUUCUAGAGCUAAUACAUGACUCAAAGACCGACUUACGAAGGUCUGUGUUUAUUAGAUGGAAACCAAAGCGGGGAAACCCGGAUUUAUGGUGAUUCAUAAUAACCCUCCGAUCGGCUAUGCCGACGCAUCAUUCAAGUUUCUGCCCUAUCAGCUUUGGACGGUAGGGUAUUGGCCUACCGUGGCUUUAACGGGUAACGGAGAAUUAGGGUUCGAUUCCGGAGAGGGAGCCUGAGAAACGGCUACCACAUCUAAGGAAGGCAGCAG
rnacentral:rRNA from 1 species